CUGUCCCUCUCAUCUGCAGGCAUGCAGUGGCAUUUUUCAAACACACCCUUACUGACAUGUAAGCUAGUCCCGGUCUCACUGCCAGUCUUCGGUCUUUGGCGCCACAAACUUUAGGUUUAUCUCUCCCAAGCAACUUUGGAAACCAGCAGCACUGAGAGCGAUCUGCUGAGCUUCCUGUCUUUCAAGUCAUUGCAGGCGGCGCAAAGUGCAACAGAAAUAGUCCUCUUGAGCUGUAAAUGUAAACAUACAGAUGGAUUGUCAGAUGAGAAGCUCCAGGUUCCCUUGAAACUACCCGGGGGGUUUUUAACGCACACUUCAGCUGAAACAAAGGCAUUUGAGAUUUUUUCACACUCAACUGAAGGCUUAUUUUAAAGGAAAAUGUCCGGCACCGUGGCGAUUCUUUCAGUCCUCCUGUUGGUCCUAAUUGUACUGCUGGUUUUCUUCUACAAGAAACUGAACCAGGAGGCAAAUAACCAAUACACAGUCCGGAACAUAAUAUACAAGAAAGAUGGGGUCAGGGACCGGGUGAGGUCCGCAGCACUAGCUGUGGAAACACAUCUUGGAAUCCAGAUGUGGCCUCGCGGACAUGAUGACGAGGAAGAGAUGGAGGAAAUUGAGGACGAGGAGGGAGCAGUGGAGUCUGGAGACAGUCAGCACCAGAGUGACGGGAGUGGCACGGAUGGAGAGAAUGAACAAGAGGAGGAUAGUGUGGACCACAGUGGUAGCACAAAGGAGAACGAAGGAGAAAACUCAGAUGCAGAAAGUUCAGAAGCAGGGGAGGAAGAUAGGCUGCUAGAUAAUAAACCAGAAGAGAAUGAGGAGGUGGGGGAUAAGCAGGAGAAAGAGUUAAACGAACAAGGUAAAGCAGAAGCAAGUGGUGGGACUGGAUUGUUGAUAGACCUAAAGCAGUUCUCUGGAAGUGCUAUCUGGUCGGAACAGAAAGAAGAUGAGAGUCAGGGCGGUGAUGUGACUGUACUGUGAAAACGAGCAGAAUUUAUAAAGCAGGGAGGUGUGAAAAUGGGCUAUUUAUAAAGAAAAAGAUCACAAUUUCAAGUAAGCCAGGGAGGAGGUCAUACCAUUUGAAAAUAAAAAUCUAAUUUAGAAAACAGUGCCAGCACAGCUUCAGCCUCAUAAUGGUACAUCUUUUAUCUUCAUGCCUUUAGUGUUGACACGUCAGGGGAAAACACAAUGGCUGAAUGAAGCUGUUAUAAAUAUGCAUUUAUAUGGUUCUUGUAAAGUUUGUGUAAAGUUUCUCAUUUUGGACUUUAAAAUAUUUUUUUUAGGAAACAAAAAGAUAUAUGUCUAGCUUUUCAAUGUAAACGGGUUCAUAAUAUUUUCUCAGUAGUGAUUGACUCUCUUUGACUAUAUAUAUUGUAAAAGAGUAACAACUACUCAAAAGGUGAAUAUUUCAUAGUAAAAUAAAGGCUUUUUGUUGCUGUAUUCUCUAGAGAGUAACACUUUGAAACAAGGUGUCAAUGUGCUCAACUGUCUGUCACAUGCUCAUGAUGUAUAUGUCGCUAAAAACAAAAUAAACUACAAAUUUGAAUGUU